rnacentral:rRNA from 1 species
UACGGAGGGUGCAAGCGUUAUCCGGAUUCACUGGGUUUAAAGGGUGCGUAGGAGGGCAGGUAAGUCAGUGGUGAAAUCUCCAAGCUUAACUUGGAAACUGCCGUUGAUACUAUCUGUCUUGAAUACCGUGGAGGUGAGCGGAAUAUGUCAUGUAGCGGUGAAAUGCUUAGAUAUGACAUAGAACACCAAUUGCGAAAGCAGCUCGCUACACGAAUAUUGACUCUGAGGCACGAAAGCGUGGGGAUCAAGCAGG